rnacentral:lncRNA from 8 species
CUUAAGGUCAAUUUGCUGUGUACUGUCUACAGUAUCAUUGUUAUGAGUAUGUUCACUGUGCCAGUCAUUAUUUUUAUUUUUACCUUUAUUUAACUAGGCAAGUCAGUUUAGAACAAAUUCUUAUUUUCAAUGACGGCCUAGGAACAGUGGGUUAACUGCCUUGUUCAGGGGCAGAACGACAUAUUUUUUAGGCUAUUUUUUUAGGCUACCUGUCGCUAUAUAGGUAUAGGCUAAAUUCCCUAACCUAAUUGCAAUUUACAUAAUAAGGGUUACAUUUUAAUAAUUCCCUCAUUUUAUCUUUCUUGAGAGGCAAUACAUCUCUAAUACACUAUACUCAAUACCAUACAGUAAGCUCACCGCUGUAUGCCGAUGACACCUGCAAGCCCCGCCUCCCCGCAGAAUAAAGAAUAGACAUGAGUGGAUAAUUUCGGUGUCACUACAAAGGAUACCUUAAUUAAGCCAAUUCAUUGGCUUUAGACAUGCCAAUCAUGUCUGUGUUGUAAUCUGAUUGGUGUGUGUACCACCUCAUGGCAAAUGGUGUAGAAACUCUGAAGCACUCCAUUCUGUUUAUGAUUUCUAUUUAUGAUUGACGGUGCUGUUUAAAGCUAUUUUAAUGUCUGCCUUAUUUGUAUUAUUACAUAGUUGGGGAGGACAGGGGAGAAAGGGUGGACAGCACCCUGUCUAGUAGUUGUAGCUAGUUAAAGGUCUUCUUGAGGAAGUGCCGACAGACGGACAGCUGUGCGAGUUCGCAUUUUCUAAUAAAACAGCAGCACGAGGGAUGGCUUUGGCGUAGCAUUUCGUACUGUAUUUUUCAUAAGGCGGCGAAGUCGACAUUGUGAAGGUUUUAUUCUGUGCUAGUUUCGUGGUUGCCGGGUGUUGGCAUGACAUAGCAGCUACGAGCAAGAGCCACUUCGAUUAUGGGAACAUUCAGGUUCUAUCUGUUCGUCACACUGACUCUCUCACUGUGGUUGGCUGGUUGUAGCGAUCAACAGAGGCCUGCCCUGUGCUAUAGGCUCCACGCCAUUAUCCUGCUGUGCUGCUGACGCUGAGAUACUGGGAGCAACUCCAUGACCUGACAUACCAAGCCUAAAACUCCAGUAUCCUGCCCUACUGCAGCUACUACAAGCUCCCUUCUAGUCUGUUGUUCCUGUCAUUUUGGUAGCACUUUACAUUACAGCACGGAAUAAAGCGGUCAUUGAAUGGUAACUAGUUAAAGUUACUCACAAAGCAAACCAUUAUUUGCCCAGAUACAGGAUGCUACAGAUCAGUAUAACUGUAUUGUUUCAGAGACAUCACAUACUAGAGGGGUGAUAAUACAAUAACAACAUGGCAGUG